rnacentral:rRNA from 1 species
GCUUGUCUCAAAGAUUAAGCCAUGCAUGUCUAAGUAUAAACACCUUUAUACUGUGAAACUGCGUACAGCUCAUUAAAUCAGUAAUAAUUUAUUUGAUGGUGACUUACUACAUGGAUAACCGUAGUAACCUAGAGCUAAUACAUGCACAAAAUCCCGACUUACGAAGGGAUGUAUUUAUUAGAUACAAACCAACAUCGUGGUGAUUCAUAAUAACUUUGCGAAUCGUAUGCCUCACGGCGACGAUGAAUCAUUCAAAUUUCUGCCCUAUCAACUUUCGAUGGUACGGUAUUGGCCUACCAUGGUUACCACGGGUAACGGGGAAUUAGGGUUCGGUUCCGGAGAGGGGGCCUGAGAAAUGGCCACCACAUCCAAGGAAGGCAGCAGG